AGGGAUCAUUACCGAGUUUACAACUCCCAAACCCCUGUGAACAUACCUAUACGUUGCCUCGGCGGAUCAGCCCGCGCCCCGUAAAACGGGACGGCCCGCCCGAGGACCCUAAACUCUGUUUUUAGUGGAACUUCUGAGUAAAACAAACAAAUAAAUCAAAACUUUCAACAACGGAUCUCUUGGUUCUGGCAUCGAUGAAGAACGCAGCAAAAUGCGAUAAGUAAUGUGAAUUGCAGAAUUCAGUGAAUCAUCGAAUCUUUGAACGCACAUUGCGCCCGCCAGUAUUCUGGCGGGCAUGCCUGUUCGAGCGUCAUUUCAACCCUCAAGCUCAGCUUGGUGUUGGGACUCGCGGUAACCCGCGUUCCCCAAAUCGAUUGGCGGUCACGUCGAGCUUCCAUAGCGUAGUAAUCAUACACCUCGUUACUGGUAAUCGUCGCGGCCACGCCGUUAAACCCCAACUUCUGAAUGUUGACCUCGGAUCAGGUAGGAAUACCCGCUGAACUUAAGCAUAUCAAU
rnacentral:rRNA from 1 species